rnacentral:tRNA from 1 species
CGGGGUGUGGCUCAGUUGGUAGAGCGCUGCUUUUGGGAAGCAGAGGUCAUGAGUUCGAAUCUCGUCACCCCGA